rnacentral:lncRNA from 1 species
GGAAAACUGUUGUCUCUGCUCUUUUAAAUUGCUAUUUCUCUUUCAUAUUCUAUACGGGGGUAGGUCUUGGUGAUGGUGAAUUUAACCUUGUGGUUUCAGGAAUGAAAAUUCGUGGAUUUGCAUUUGUGGCCAGUGUGCAAGAGACCCAGUUACAUAACCAAAGAGUGAGUCUGCUGGCCACGGACCCCCACGCUCCAACACAGCUUCGUCUUCUGUUCCUUGCUCCCAUGCAAUGAUGAACACUUCUCAAUGGAAGGAUUCACGAAGGAAGCCCCUCAAAAACUUCAGUUCGGGAAAUUCUGCUGUAAGCGAUCAAAGGCCAUGGAAGGAUUUUGAACUGUUUAAAAGAUAUCAGGUUUUUAUUAAGAAAUUCCUUCUGGGGAAUGGAGAGUGAGGGAGGGAUGGGGACUGAGAUGAGAAACAAGGAGACUUGUUGGAAGCCUGUUACAGCCGUCCAGGGUGGAGAUGCUGCAUGAGCCACAUUAAGUGUAGGAGGGUCUGGAAAGGCUCGGCGGACUCCAGAAGUGUUAGAAGGUAGAUGAAUAGACUGAACUGCCAUCGGGAGGGAGGGACCUACAUCACCAACCAGGUUUUUUUGGUCAUGUCUAAUCAGUCAUUGGAUAUAAGAUUCUGACGUCCAGGAGGAGGGUCUGCUCUGGGGAUAUAUUUGAAAGUCAGGCAUGACCCUAUGGUGGCACUGAGGUCUCAGGUGGAUGAGCUCAUCACCAGGUCAAAAAUCUAAGAGGGAGAACAGGACUGUGGACGGAACCGAGGGGCCCGUCAGUGUUUAAGAAGUGGGCGAGAAGGAGUUGUUGGGGAGCAAGGAGGAGAAGCAGGAGAGUGGGGGUCCUGGGAACCCAGGAUAAUAUGAAGCAAAGAGCUUAAAAACUGUGUAUGCCCUUUGAUCCAAAUAUUCCAUCUCUAGAAAUUAUCUUAAAGAAAUCACCGCAGAUGGGCACAGAUUAUUGAACAAGAUUGUUUAUAACAGCAUCACACAUAAUAUUAAAAAAUAAACUGGGGCUGGCCCCGUGGCCAAGUGGUUAAGUUCGCGCGCUCCGCUGCAGGCGGCCCAGUGUUUCGUUGGUUCGAAUCCUGGGUGCGGACAUGGCACCGCUCAUCAAACCACGCUGAGGGAGCAUCCCACGUGCCACAACUAGAAGGACCCACAACAAAGAAUAUACAACUAUGUACCGGGGGGCUUUGGGGAGAAAAAGGAAAAAAUAAAAUUAAAAAAAAUAAUAAAAUAAAGAUGUUUUUCAAUAACACAGGGUUGCUUAAAUAAAUUAUGAUAGCCAUAUGAUGAAAAAAUACCAUGAAGCCAGUAAAAAAAAUAAAUAGCUUUUUGGAAAUAAUAAAUGGCAUGGUGAAAUAUUGCAAUAUAUUAUGAAGUCAGGAAAGCAAGCGUG